AGUGAACGCUGGCGGUAGGCCUAACACAUGCAAGUCGAACGGCAGCACAGUAAGAGCUUGCUCUUACGGGUGGCGAGUGGCGGACGGGUGAGGAAUACAUCGGAAUCUACUUUUUCGUGGGGGAUAACGUAGGGAAACUUACGCUAAUACCGCAUACGACCUACGGGUGAAAGCAGGGGAUCUUCGGACCUUGCGCGAUUGAAUGAGCCGAUGUCGGAUUAGCUAGUUGGCGGGGUAAAGGCCCACCAAGGCGACGAUCCGUAGCUGGUCUGAGAGGAUGAACAGCCACACUGGAACUGAGGCAAGGUCCAAACUCCUACGGGAGGCAGCAGUGGGGAAUAUUGAACUAUGAGCGCAAGCCUGAUCCAGCCAUACCGCAUGGGUGAAGAAGACCUUCGGGUUAUAAAGCCCUUUUGUUGGGAAAGAAGAGCAGCGGGUUAAUACCCCGCUGUUCUGACGGUACCCAAAGAAUAAGCACCGGCUAACUUCGUG
rnacentral:rRNA from 1 species